rnacentral:rRNA from 1 species
GACGAACGCUGGCGGCGUGCUUAACACAUGCAAGUCGAACGGAAAGGCCUGCUUUCCCUUGUGGAUUGCGGGUACUCGAGUGGCGAACGGGUGAGUAACACGUGAGUGAUCUGCCCCCAACUUGGCUAUAAGCCUGGGAAACUGGGUCUAAUUCCCGAUAGGACUGCAGGGUGGUGCCUGUGGUGGAAAACGAUUUUCUAGUGGUUGGGGAUGAGCUCGCGGCCUAUCAGCUUGUUGGUGGGGUAAUGGCCUACCAAGGCGGCGACGGGUAGCCGGCCUGAGAGGGUGGACGGCCACAGUGGGACUGAGAUACGGCCCAGACUCCUACGGGAGGCAGCAGUGGGGAAUAUUGCACAAUGGGCGGAAGCCUGAUGCAGCGACGCCGCGUGGGGGAUGACGGCCUUCGGGUUGUAAACUCCUUUCGACCGCGAGGAAGCCACCUGGUUGGAAGGGUGGUGACGGUAGUGGUAGAAGAAGCACCGGCUAACUACGUG